UAUCUCCUGAUCUAUAUUGAAUACUGUGGCACAGGGUUCCGUCAUAACUUGGAUCUUAUGACAACAGUGGCUGUCCUGAAUCUACUGCAGUUAAAGUGACAUCAUAUUGAAAUACUUUCUCCCUGUCCAGUGGCGAGCUAGUGAUUAAUGAGUAUAUGUUAUCCUGAGUGGAUGCCAUCAGUUUAAAAGAAUCCUCAGAGACUGCUCUUGAGAAGGAUGUCACCUCAAUCUCAGAAUCUAAAUCAGUAACGCUUAUGAUUGCAACCGUAGUUCCAGGUCUAGAAUCCUCUUGGAUAGCUCUUGAGAAGGACGUUACCUCAAUGUCAGUGUUCUGACGUCGACCCCUAAAUCCGUUGCGAUGUUGCCCACGAUUGUUCCAUCCUCCUGCUCCUCUGAAAUGGAAUAUCGUA